GUGUCUGUCCGCAGCUGGCCGGCGAAUGUAAAGACUGACUAAGCAUGUAGUGCCGACGGUGUAGUAAUUUCGGACGCGGGUUCAACUCCCGCCAGCUCCACCA
rnacentral:tRNA from 2 species